AGAGGGUGCGAGCGUGGUCCGGAAUCACUGGGCGUAAAGGGCGCGUAGGUGGCUGGGUAAGUGUGCGGUGAAAGCCCGGGGCUCAACCCCGGGUCGGCCGUGCAGACUGCUUGGCUUGAGCAUAGUAGAGGCAGGUGGAAUUCCGGGUGUAGCGGUGGAAUGCGUAGAGAUCCGGAAGAACACCGGUGGCGAAGGCGGCCUGCUGGGCUAUUGCUGACACUGAGGCGCGACAGCGUGGGGAGCAAACAGGAUUAGAUACCCUGGUAGUCCACGCCGUAAACGAUGGGUACUAGGUGUCUGGGGGAGCGACCCCCUGGGUGCCGGCGCUAACGCAUGAAGUACCCCGCCUGGGGAGUACGGCCGCAAGGCUG
rnacentral:rRNA from 1 species